CCGUGAAGCCGGCCCGAUCUCUUCGGAGUUGAGGGUAGUGGUGGAGCCGAUGAACCAGACUUGUAGUAGGUAAGCGAUGGGGUGACGCAGGAAGGUAGUCCAGCCCGGGCGGUGGUUGUCCCGGGGUAAGGGUGUAGGACGCACGGUAGGCAAAUCCGUCGUGCAUAUAAGUCUGAGACCUGAUGCCGAGCCGAUUGUGGUGAAGUGGAUGAUCCUAUGCUGUCGAGAAAAGCCUCUAGCGAGUUUCAUGGCGGCCCGUACCCUAAACCGACUCAGGUGGUCAGGUAGAGAAUACCGAGGCGUUCGGGUG
rnacentral:rRNA from 1 species